AGGUCAGUACAGUGUAAUUGGUAUCACCCCGGACUGUAAAUCCGGUGCCUAAAGGCGAUUGUUGGUUCAAGUCCAACCUGGCCUA
rnacentral:tRNA from 1 species